rnacentral:rRNA from 1 species
UGCAGUCGUACGAGAGUUUUGACUCAAGUGGCGGACGGGUGAGUAACACGUAAGAAUUUGCCUUUAGGAGGGGGACAACAACUGGAAACGGUUGCUAAUACCCCAUAUGCUUUCGAGUGAAAUGGAUUUUUCCGCCUAGAGAGAAGCUUGCGGCUGAUUAGCUUGUUGGUAAGGUAAUGGCUUACCAAGGCGACGAUCAGUAUCUGGUUUGAGAGGACGAUCAGACACACUGGAACUGAGACACGGUCCAGACUCCUACGGGAGGCAGCAGUGGGGAAUUUUCCGCAAUGGGCGAAAGCCUGACGGAGCAAUACCGCGUGAGGGAUGACGGCCUAUGGGUUGUAAACCUCUUUUUUCAGGGAGGAAAAAAAUGACGUUACCUGAAGAAUAAGCAUCGGCUAACUCCGUGCCAGCAGCCGCGGUAAUACG